AUGCUGUCCUGUGGCUGUGGCGCCCCAACAACUGUAGCUCCGAUUCAACCCUUAGCCUGGGAACUUCCAUAUGCUGCAAGUACAGCCCUAAAGAGGAAAAAAAAAAGAAGAAGAAGAAGAACCCUCUAUGACUCUCCAGGAUUCCCAGGACAGGGUCCCAGCUCCAUCUCUAGCACAGAAAUUUCUUUCCUGAGGCUGGAAAGAAAUCACAGCUCCCUGAACACCGCCCACCUGUAUACGCCCCCACCUUCCCUCACCUCCUUCUCUGGGCCUUGCUUCCUCUCCUUUGCUUGUAAUGAAGAGCUCAGGAAGGAUCUGAAGCAGGUGAGAAACGAAGCUAUUGAAAGAAAGUCGGUUUCUUCUAGAAUUCUCUCCCGCCUCCCACCUAAGGCCUCAUUUUGAUCGAUGGCACCACAGCAGACUGAGCCAGUGCUAAUGGGGACAUCCGUGGGCUGACCCUGGGAGGAUGCUGAAGGCCAGGCCCAGGCAAUGGGGACUCUAAAUGCCCCCCACAACGUGCCUGGCCUCAGUCCCCCUCCUGGCAGGUGAGACUCUCAACUUUGCCUUUUCCCCUGGCCUUUGAGGCCCAAGACCUUUUCUGUGAUUCCCCUUGUGUCCCCUUCUGCUCCUGAAGUAGGAGGGCUGGUAGGCAGCCUGGCAGGAGAGGCUGCACCAACUGGCCCGGAUCUACCCACCCCAUCUCCAGCCAUGGCUGUCCUCACACCUGCCUGGCUGUCCCUCUGCACCCUGAGUUUCCUACGGGGUUAGUGAUCUCGGGGAGACAGAGUAGGCUGGUGCACUGGUG
ensembl:lncRNA